GCGACCCCAGGUCAGGCGGGAUCACCCGCUGAGUUUAAGCAUAUCAAUAAGCGGAGGAGAAGAAACUUACAAGGAUUCCCCUAGUAACGGCGAGCGAACCGGG
rnacentral:rRNA from 1 species